rnacentral:rRNA from 1 species
AAUAGAUACCCAGGUAGUCCACGCCGUAAACGAUGAGUGCUAAGUGUUAGGGGGUUUCCGCCCCUUAGUGCUGCAGCUAACGCAUUAAGCACUCCGCCUGGGGAGUACGGUCGCAAGACUGAAACUCAAAGGAAUUGACGGGGGCCCGCACAAGCGGUGGAGCAUGUGGUUUAAUUCGAAGCAACGCGAAAAACCUUACCAGGUCUUGACAUCCCACUGACCGCUAUGGAGACAUAGUUUUCCCUUCGGGGACAGUGGUGACAGGUGGUGCAUGGUUGUCGUCAGCUCGUGUCGUGAGAUGUUGGGUUAAGUCCCGCAACGAGCGCAACCCUUGAUCUUAGUUGCCAUCAUUUAGUUGGGCACUCUAAGGUGACUGCCGGUGACAAACCGGAGGAAGGUGGGGAUGACGUCAAAUCAUCAUGCCCCUUAUGACCUGGGCUACACACGUGCUACAAUGGACGGUACAAACGGUUGCCAACCCGCGAGGGGGAGCUAAUCCGAUAAAACCGUUCUCAGUUCGGAUUGUAGGCUGCAACUCGCCUAC